rnacentral:rRNA from 1 species
AUUGAACGCUGGCGGCAGGCCUAACACAUGCAAGUCGAACGAGGGGCGGACGGGAGAGAAAUGUCUGGGAAACUGCAUGAUGGAGGGGGAUAACUACUGGAAACGGUAGCUAAUACCGCAUAACAUGGGAUGUGACCAGAUGGGAUUAGCUAGUAGGUGGGGUAAAGGCUCACCUAGGCCCCGAUCCCUAGCUGGUCUGAGAGGAUGACCAGCCACACUGGCACUGGGACACGGUCCAGACUCCUACGGUAGGCAGCAGUGGGGAAUAUUGCCCAAUGGGCGCAAGCCUGAUGCCGCCAUGCCGCUUGUAUUAAGAAGGCCUUCGGGUUUUAAAGUACUUUCAGCGGGGAGGCGUUACCCUCAGAAGAAGCACCGGCUAACUCCGUGCCAGCAGCCGCGGUAAUUC